AAAAAAAUCAACCGUCUCAUUUUCCUUUAAGGUUCAAAUCAUCAACUUAAAAGUGCUUAGAGUUACUGUCACAACUCACAAGUUUCAGGGAAAAAAAGAAGGUGCAUUAAAGUUCAUUUGAAUAGCCAAUAUAAUACCAGAAUAACCCAUUGUUUUAAUCAGGUAUACUGACCAACAAGUUGUGUAGCUUAGUAAGCCAGUUCACACGGAGCAAAAAAAAUAAAAACAGGCACUGGCACAUUCAGAGAUGAGGAUAUUCGGGUGCUAGCCAAUACCAUCAUUUCAAAUUUCUUAGUAAACGGUAGAGGUCAAAAAAACGCAGACUAGUGUAUCUGGAAGAAUCUCAGGCAAAGGACACAAGAUACAUUGAAGCACGAUAGUAAA
rnacentral:misc_RNA from 1 species